UACGAAGGGGGCGAGCGUUGUUCGGAAUUACUGGGCGUAAAGGGCGCGCAGGCGGCUCUGAAAGUCAGAUGUGAAAGCCCUGGGCUCAACCUGGGAAUUGCAGUGGAUACUGGCGAGCUAGAGUGCGGUAGAGGAUGGUGGAAUUCCCGGUGUAGCGGUGAAAUGCGUAGAGAUCGGGAGGAACACCCGUGGCGAAGGCGGCCAUCUGGACCAGCACUGACGCUGAGGCACGAAAGCGUGGGGAGCAAACAGG
rnacentral:rRNA from 1 species